AUAUUUUGUUGCCCUUCCAGGUUCUGUGUGUAUGUGCAUGUGUGCAUACGUGUGUAACAUGUAUGCAUCCAACCAACAGAUACGUAUACAC
rnacentral:miRNA from 1 species